UACGUAGGGUGCAAGCGUUAAUCGGAAUUACUGGGCGUAAAGCGUGCGCAGGCGGUUGUGCAAGACCGAUGUGAAAUCCCCGGGCUUAACCUGGGAAUGGCAUUGGUGACUGCACGGCUAGAGUGUGUCAGAGGGGGGUAGAAUUCCACGUGUAGCAGUGAAAUGCGUAGAGAUGUGGAGGAAUACCGAUGUCGAAGGCAGCCCCCUGGGAUAACACUGACGCUCAUGCACGAAAGCGUGGGGAGCAAACAGG
rnacentral:rRNA from 1 species